GAUGCGGUACUGCCCGCCCUCGGAGCACGGCCGCUCCCGGCAGGCCCGGCUCCCAGCCACAUUCCUCUGUGCUUAGUUAGAGCACAGGCGCAGCCUAAAAAUAGUGCUGUUCCUCUUCAGAGCGAUCCAGAUAAGUGGCUCAGGAGAGGCAGUAGGGGAGGAACUGGAGAUGAGGGCAGGCAGGGAUGCCAGAGAGGAUGAGAUCCUGUUCUGGCUGCGGUUCAUACAGAAGGCCUGUGCAUAGGCUUGAAGGUUUAAAUGAGUUGAAAGCAGAAGGAAAUGGCCUGAGAUGAAAAGCAGAAUUUUCCCCAAGUUGAAAAUGGAGAUGUGUUUUGGAUGCUUCUGGCAAGGACCACAGAGGAAGUUUACAGGCUGUGUCCACAGCGCAAGUGAUUUGAAAGGGAGAAGAUUGCCAAGAGAAAAAGUAGCUUCUUUCCUGCAUGAUGCUAUUUUUGGAAGACUGCUGGCAUCAGAUGCGGAACUGGAGAUGGCUUUCAAGGGUAGUGUCCCUGUACUACAGCACUGCUAUACAUCUGGCUGGACAAGAAUCUCGAAUAAAGUAGAUUGCCUGAGUGCACACUGA